UAUAAAAUUAUGCAACUUCUAUGUGCAAAGGUUUGGAUCAGUUAAGCAAACUUAAAAAAUUAACUCUAAAAAGUUAAAAGUUAAUAAAAUAAUCAGAGAUGCCAGCAGGAAAAACACAUGAGAGAGAUCCAGGACAUUAUUUUCAUUAUUCUGCUGGUUUAGCCAUUGGAUUUCCCUGUCCCUGUUGGCCCUGCAAGCUGUGGCGCUGUGCAGCUGCAUGAGCAGUGUGAUGAAAGCAGUGGCACUGCAGGCAUUGGAUUUGGUCCAGCUGGGGGAUGAGGCUGAGACUACCAAGGAAGUAAAAUCCUGGUGACAUCUAGUGGCUGCUGGGGCUUCUCUGAGGCAUUAGAGGAAAGACCUUCCAGUGCUGCUCCUGGCAGAGGGACCACAUGAGAGCUGGCAUGAUUUCAUGUGCCCACCUCAGAUAUCAACCCUCAGGACCCUGAGUGUGACAAGAGUUGUGUGCAAAGCCCAGAUGCUGCACCCAACAUCCCCCAAACCCACUCCUCCUGCCCCAGGAAAACCACCAGUGACUCUAUAUCCACUUUUUCCCAGGACUAAUGAGCCUCCAAUUAACAAUUUCUUCUCUCUGUUGGGCACUAAUCUAACAGAAAUGUGGUUGUAAUGUAAAUAACAACGCUUCAAGUAAUAUUGGUAAGUGAGAUCUGUUUAUGGGUACUAUAAUUUCAUUCAAGGACUCUUGCAUAAAGUGCCAGUCAGAGUGAAUUAAGCAGCAAAAUUGUAAUGUUUGCCUAAAUUCAGCGGCAAAACUUUUAAUAGUCUCUUUACCUUUGAAUAUGUCUGUUGCUGCUACUCAUCAAAAUGUGGUUGUGUGCUGUUGGGUGAAGGAGAGUUUGUAAAGAGUGGACUGUGUCACUUCCAACUAAAUAACAGAAUCCAAAGGAAAUUUAGGACUCUUUAGGCUGUGGCUGACACAGAAGACAAAAGGGGUUUGACAAAUCUCCUCUGGUGGCUCCAGAGAAAAAUAAAAUGCUGGUCCAGAAGCAUUAUUGCUCAUUUAGGCUUUCUUUAAUGAGUCCUGAAUGGCUCACCAGGACGGAGGUGGUGUUGGUACCAGGUGUAUCAGAGCAGCCAAGGUGCUGGGGUUACUGGAGGUGGGCAGGCCACGGAAUUUGGGUGAAAGUAGCAAGCCAGAAGGUGUCUUUAUUUGUGGCAUUUCCCCCUGCCCAGGCAGCCCACCCUGGCAGCACCCAGGAGCCUUUAAAAUCCUGUUGUCACCCUGGCAGAAGGUGACAAAGCCAACGUGGAUGAGUUCAAAGGGCAGGAAGUGCUUCAGAAAUCUCAGCUGGUUUGUACCCAGCACACAUCCCCCCAGCAGCUCUCACACCAUCCUGACUCCCUGUAACUUCACAGAAAAUUCAUUUUCCUGGCUCUGAAGCUCUCCUGGAGGUGUCCAGGCCCUGCCCCUCUGUCCCCUGCACUGCAGGGACAUGGACACCCCCUGGCCCUUGGUCCUUUCUCCCUGCUCACCAAAAGAUGCCAGCAAAGAGCUUUGGUUCCUCGGGCUCAGCUGCCAGUGCUGCACACCCGGGAGCUGAUUUUCCUUGAAAGGUCUGAUUUUGGCAUAUUCCCUAGUGGGACUGGAGUGCAGAGUGAA